rnacentral:rRNA from 1 species
GACGAACGCUGGCGGCGCGCUUAACACAUGCAAGUCGAGCGAGAACCAGGGCUUCGGCCCUGGGGACAGCGGCGAACGGGUGAGUAACACGUGGGUAAUCUGCCCUCGGCACCGGAAUAGCCCGGGGAAACCCGGAUUAAUGCCGGAUGGCCCCUUCACCUCGCGAGGUGGCGGGAAAAGGUAGCUUCGGCCUCUGGCCGAGGAUGAGCCCGCGGCGGAUAGCUUGUUGGCGGGGUAACGGCCCACCAAGGCGACGAUCCGUAGCUGGUCUGAGAGGACGAUCAGCCACACUGGGACUGAGACACGGCCCAGACUCCUACGGGAGGCAGCAGUGGGGAAUCUUGCGCAAUGGGCGAAAGCCUGACGCAGCGACGCCGCGUGAGGGAAGAAGGCCUUCGGGUUGUAAACCUCUUUCAGGAGGGACGAAGCUACUCGGGUGAAUAGCCCAGAGGGUGACGGUACCUCCAGAAGAAGCCCCGGCUAACUACGUGCCAGCCGCCGCCGUAA